UGGAAGCCUCCAUCAAAUCAUGGGUUUAUACCCUGUACAAAGCCUACUCCUAAUUACUCAAUUAUUUUCACCACUUUCAAAAGUUAAAGAUGAACAAAAUGGUGUGCUGGAACUACAUGAUGUUCAUGACAAACAAAGAACUGUGCAAGCUGAUAGAUUUUGUGAAUAAGAUCCAUGUUACUGGCCAGAAUGGGCUAC